rnacentral:rRNA from 1 species
CACGUAGGGGCCAAGCGUUGUCCGGAUUCAUUGGGCGUAAAGAGCUCGUAGGCGGUUCAGUCAGUCGAGUGUGAAAUCUCCGGGCUCAACCCGGAGGGGCCACCCGAUACUGCUGUGACUCGAGUCCGGUAGGGGAGUGGGGAAUUCCUGGUGUAGCGGUGAAAUGCGCAGAUAUCAGGAGGAACACCGGUGGCGAAGGCGGCGACCUGGGUCGAUACUGACGCUGAGGUGCGAAAGCGUGGGGAGCAAACAGG